rnacentral:rRNA from 1 species
ACUCAAAUGAAUUGACGGGGACCCGCACAACCGGUGGAGCGUGUGGUUCAAUUCGAGACAAAACGAAGGACCUCACCAGGGCUUGACAUGGUACCGUACAUUUUCCCAGAAAUGGGGAGAAAUCCGCAAGGAUGGUAUCACAGGUGCUGCAUGGCUGUCGUCAGCUCGUGCCGUGAGGUGUUCCCUUAAGUGGGGAAACGAGCGCAACCCGCAUCCAAUGUUAUAUUCUCAUUGGAAACUGUCCCUGAUUUUCAGGGGAGGAAGGAGCGGAAGACGUCAAGUCAGCACGGCCCUUAUGCCCUGGGCAACACACACACUACAAUGGCGAAAAACAAUGAGCAGCAAGCGCGCAAGUGCAAGCGAAUCUCUGAAAUUUCGCCUCAGUUCAGAUUGGAGUCUGCAACUCGACUCCAUGAAGUCGGAAUCGGUAGUAAUCGCGGAUCAGCAAGCCGCGGUGAAUACGUUCUCGGGUCUUGCACACACCGCCCGU